AUUGAACGCUGGCGGCAGGCCUAACACAUGCAAGUCGAACGAGUGGCGGACGGGUGAGUAAUGUCUGGGAAACUGCCCGAUGGAGGGGGAUAACUACUGGAAACAGUAUCUAAUACCGCAUACUAUCGUAUGUGCCCAGAUGGGAUUAGCUAGUAGGUGGGAUAGCGGCUCACCUAGGCGACGAUCCCUCGCUGGUCGGAGAGGAUGACCAGCCACACUGGAACUGAGACACGGUCCAGACUCCUACGGGAGGCAGCAGUGGGGAAUAUUGCGCAAUGGGCGCAAGCCUGAUGCAGCCAUGCCGCGUGUAUGAAGAAGGCCUUCGGGUUGUAAAGUACUUUCAGCGAGGAGGCGUUACUCGCAGAAGAAGCACCGGCUAACUCCGUGCCAGCAGCCGCGGUAAUUC
rnacentral:rRNA from 1 species